AUUGAACGCUGGCGGCAUGCUUUACACAUGCAAGUCGAACGGUAACAGGCCGCAAGGUGCUGACGAGUGGCGAACGGGUGAGUAAUGCAUCGGAACGUGCCCAGUCGUGGGGGAUAACUACUCGAAAGAGUAGCUAAUACCGCAUACGAUCUAUGGAUGAAAGCGGGGGACCGUAAGGCCUCGCGCGAUUGGAGCGGCCGGUGUCAGAUUAGGUAGUUGGUGGGGUAAAGGCUCACCAAGCCAACGAUCUGUAGCUGGUCUGAGAGGACGACCAGCCACACUGGGACUGAGACACGGCCCAGACUCCUACGGGAGGCAGCAGUGGGGAAUUUUGGACAAUGGGCGCAAGCCUGAUCCAGCAAUGCCGCGUGCAGGAAGAAGGCCUUCGGGUUGUAAACUGCUUUUGUACGGAACGAAACGGCUCUGGUUAAUACCCGGGGCUAAUGACGGUACCGGAAGAAUAAGCACCGGCUAACUACGUG
rnacentral:rRNA from 1 species